GGAGGGAUGGCAGAGCGGUCGAUUGCGCUCCGCUGAAAACGGAGUGGGCCUCGUCAGAGGCUUCGCGGGUUCGAAUCCCGCUCCCUAUU
rnacentral:tRNA from 1 species